rnacentral:rRNA from 1 species
GACGAACGCUGGCGGCGUGCUUAACACAUGCAAGUCGAACGGAAGGGCCCUGCUUUUGUGGGGUGCUCGAGUGGCGAACGGGUGAGUAACACGUGAGUAACCUGCCCUUGACUUUGGGAUAACUUCAGGAAACUGGGGCUAAUACCGGAUAGGAGCUCCUGCUGCAUGGUGGGGGUUGGAAAGUUUCGGCGGUUGGGGAUGGACUCGCGGCUUAUCAGCUUGUUGGUGGGGUAGUGGCUUACCAAGGCUUUGACGGGUAGCCGGCCUGAGAGGGUGACCGGCCACAUUGGGACUGAGAUACGGCCCAGACUCCUACGGGAGGCAGCAGUGGGGAAUAUUGCACAACGGGCGGAAGCCUGAUGCAGCAACGCCGCGUGCGGGAUGACGGCCUUCGGGUUGUAAACCGCUUUCGCCUGUGACGAAGCGUGAGUGACGGUAAUGGGUAAAGAAGCACCGGCUAACUACGUG